rnacentral:rRNA from 1 species
UACGGGGGGAGCAAGCGUUGUUCGGAUUUACUGGGCGUAAAGGGCGCGUAGGCGGUCAGCACAAGUCAGUUGUGAAAUCUCCGAGCUUAACUCGGAAAGGUCAUCUGAUACUGUGCGACUAGAGUGCAGAAGGGGCAACUGGAAUUCUCGGUGUAGCGGUGAAAUGCGUAGAUAUCAGGAGGAACACCCGUGGUGUAGACGGCUUGCUGGACGGUCACUGACGCUGAGGCACGAAAGCGUGGGGAGCAAACAGG